rnacentral:misc_RNA from 1 species
AGAGAGAGAGAGAGAGAGAGCUCAUCAUGAUUUUUUCUUAUAACACAAAACACAACAUACCGAAACAAAUCGAGCAAAUUCAUGCCAAUAUCUUCAAUCACCUAAAGAAAAUCACUGCAGACAGUAUCUAGCUACUUCAAUAAAGAAACCCAUAUGGAUAAAAGGCUUUGAAACUUGUACAGAUACGCUUGAUCUAGCAAAUUAACAAUCGGACCAUGAUGCUUCGAUUCCCCGAGAUACAUAUAUAUAUAUAGAGAGAGAGAAGAAACUGAGAUGCACUCAAAUUCUUUCCAAGAAGAAGACCCUUUUUCUCAUCAUGCUGGAGUAGUAGUAGUAGUGGAGGCUACAGGAAGUGGGAAAUAAGAGUAGGGUUUUUUCUUCUUGAGAGAAGCCAUCUUCUUCUCCUAACUUUCCUCUUUCUUCUUCUUUCUCUUUCUUGUUCUUGAUCUUGUUAUGCUGGAGAUAGAAGGUAGUUUUGGUGCGGUUGGUAGAUGGUAAAAGAAGAAGCGAUGAUGAUGAAAGUGAGGGACUAAUGAUGAGAGGAAGAGGGUAGAGGACAUGAUGAUUGCAGCAGGGUGUUUUUGCGUUGAAUAGAGUGAUAAAAAUCCAAAGAUUUGCGUGCUCUUUCUCAGAAAGGAUUGAUGGUUUUUUUUCCUUCUUUCACAUGGAGAUAAUUAUCAUCAACCCCACCCCAAAACAACCCACCUCUCUUCUUCUACUUCUACAUAUAUGAGGGACUGUACU